CCGGGUGUAGCGUAGUUUGGAAGCGCACAUGGUUUGGGACCAUGGGGUCGGGGGUUCAAAUCCCUCCACCCGGACCA
rnacentral:tRNA from 1 species